rnacentral:ncRNA from 2 species
UUUCGUUCUCGGGGCGGGGUGAAACUCCCCACCGGCGGUAAAGAAUUAUUUCUAAGCCCGCGAGCGCCUAAAAGAGAUAUAGUUAAAGUACAUCUUUUAGGGUCAGCAGAUCUGGUGUGAUUCCAGAGCCGACGGUGAUAGUCCGGAUGAUAGAGAGCGUGU